GAUGAACGCUGGCGGCGUGCCUAAUACAUGCAAGUCGAGCGAACGGACGAGAAGCUUGCUUCUCUGAUGUUAGCGGCGGACGGGUGAGUAACACGUGGAUAACCUACCUAUAAGACUGGGAUAACUUCGGGAAACCGGAGCUAAUACCGGAUAAUAUUUUGAACCGCAUGGUUCAAAAGUGAAAGACGGUCUUGCUGUCACUUAUAGAUGGAUCCGCGCUGCAUUAGCUAGUUGGUAAGGUAACGGCUUACCAAGGCAACGAUGCAUAGCCGACCUGAGAGGGUGAUCGGCCACACUGGAACUGAGACACGGUCCAGACUCCUACGGGAGGCAGCAGUAGGGAAUCUUCCGCAGUGGGCGAAAGCCUGACGGAGCAACGCCGCGUGAGUGAUGAAGGUCUUCGGAUCGUAAAACUCUGUUAUUAGGGAAGAACAUAUGUGUAAGUAACUGUGCACAUCUUGACGGUACCUAAUCAGAAAGCCAUGGCUAACUACGUG
rnacentral:rRNA from 1 species